UACGUAGGUGGCAAGCGUUGUCCGGAAUUAUUGGGCGUAAAGCGCGCGCAGGUGGUUUCUUAAGUCUGAUGUGAAAGCCCACGGCUCAACCGUGGAGGGUCAUUGGAAACUGGGGAACUUGAGUGCAGGAGAGAAGAGUGGAAUUCCACGUGUAGCGGUGAAAUGCGUAGAGAUGUGGAGGAACACCAGUGGCGAAGGCGGCGACCUGGGCCAAUAUUGACGCUGAGGUGCGAAAGCGUGGGGAGCAAACAGG
rnacentral:rRNA from 1 species